rnacentral:rRNA from 1 species
CCUACGGUGUGCUGCAGUGGGGAAUAUUGGACAAUGGGCGAAAGCCUGAUCCAGCCAUGCCGCGUGUGUGAAGAAGGCCUUCGGGUUGUAAAGCACUUUCAGUGGGGAAGAAAGCCUUGGGGCUAAUACCCUCGAGGAAGGACAUCACCCACAGAAGAAGCACCGGCUAACUCCGUGCCAGCAGCCGCGGUAAUACGGAGGGUGCGAGCGUUAAUCGGAAUUACUGGGCGUAAAGCGCGCGUAGGCGGUCUGAUAAGCCGGUUGUGAAAGCCCCGGGCUCAACCUGGGAACGGCAUCCGGAACUGUCAGGCUAGAGUGCAGGAGAGGAAGGUAGAAUUCCCGGUGUAGCGGUGAAAUGCGUAGAGAUCGGGAGGAAUACCAGUGGCGAAGGCGGCCUUCUGGACUGACACUGACGCUGAGGUGCGAAAGCGUGGGUAGCAAACAGGAUUCGAUACCCGAGUAGUC